UAGUAUUCUAAGGCGCUUGAGAGAACUCUGGAGAAGGAACUCGGCAAAUUGACACCGUAACUUCGGAAGAAGGUGUGCCUUUAGUAGGUGAACCAUUUACUUGGGGAGCCCAAUGAGGCCGCAGAGAAUCGGUGGCUGCAACUGUUUAUUAAAAACACAGCACUCUGCAAGGACGAAAGUCGACGUAUAGGGUGUGACUCCUGCCCGGUGCUGGAAGAUUAAAUGAUGGGGUGCAAGCUCUUGACUGAAGUCCCAGUAAACGGCGGCCGUAACGAUAACGGUCCUAAGGUAGCGAAAUUCCUUGUCGGGUAAGUUCCGACCUGCACGAAUGGAGUAAUGAUGGCCACACUGUCUCCUCCAGAGACUCAGCGAAGUUGAAAUGUUUGUGAUGAUGCAAUCUCCCCGCGGAAAGACGGAAAGACCCCAUGAACCUUUACUGUAGCUUUACAUUGGACUUUGAACAGAUCUGUGUAGGAUAGGUGGGAGGCUUUGAAGAGUGGACGCUAGUUUGCUUGGAGCCAACGUUGAAAUACCACCCUGGUGUGUUUGAGGUUCUAACCUUGGUCCCUUAUCGGGAUUGGGGACAGUGUAUGGUGGGCAGUUUGACUGGGGCGGUCUCCUCCCAAAGUGUAACGGAGGAGUUCGAAGGUACGCUAAAUACGGUCGGAAAUCGUGUUGAUAGUGCAUUGGCAUAAGCGUGCUUGACUGCGAGACUGACAAGUCGAGCAGGUACGAAAGUAGGACAAAGUGAUCCGGUGGUUCUGUAUGGAAGGGCCAUCGCUCAACGGAUAAAAGGUACUCUGGGGAUAACAGGCUGAUACCGCCCAAGAGUUCAUAUCGACGGCGGUGUUUGGCACCUCGAUGUCGGCUCAUCUCAUCCUGGGGCUGUAGCCGGUCCCAAGGGUAUGGCUGUUCGCCAUUUAAAGAGGUACGUGAGCUGGGUUUAAAACGUCGUGAGACAGUUUGGUCCCUAUCUUCCGUGGGCGCUGCAAGAUUGAGAGAGCCUGCUCCUAGUACGAGAGGACCGGAGUGGACGCACCUCUGGUGUAUCGGUUGUCACGCCAGUGGCAUCGCCGAGUAGCUAAGUGCGGAAGAGAUAACCGCUGAAAGCAUCUAAGCGGGAAACUCGUCUCAAGAUGAGUCUUGCCGGGGCCUAGAGCCCCCUGAAGGGUCGUUCGAGACCAGGACGUUGAUAGGCUGGGUGUGGAAGCGCGGUAACGCGUUAAGCUAACCAGUACUAAUUGCCCGUGAGGCUUGACCCG
rnacentral:rRNA from 1 species